CAGCAAAACAGUCACAAUGAAUAAAUAAUUCAAAGGAUAAAAUCUGAUAUGAAAAAUCCAUUACUCUUCCCACAGAUGGUCAAAGGAGGCAGCUGCUGCAAUGCAAUUAAGUCCAACCAUUAACCAAGAGGCUGGAAAGGCAUGAUGCUCAUUACCAAGCCUGAGGUGUCUGUGUGUCAGCACUUGGAGAUGCCUUACAGGCCACAGAAAUCGGCUUUGAGCCGCUCCUUGGAUUUGAAAAGCUUUGCAUGCACAGCGCAAAGCUUUGGAUCCCAGGUGUGCUGCAGAUGUUUCAGCAAACAGCCCUGCAGGAGCCAGAGUGGCUGUCCUGCCUAAUAGCAGAG
ensembl:lncRNA